CAGCAGCCACGGGAAUACGGAGGGUGCAAGCGUUAAUCGGAAUUACUGGGCGUAAAGCGCACGCAGGCGGUCUGACAAGUCAGAUGUGAAAUCCCCGGGCUUAACCUGGGAACUGCAUUUGAAACUGUCAGGCUGGAGUCUUGUAGAGGGGGGUGGAAUUCCAGGUGUAGCGGUGAAAUGCGUAGAGAUCAGGAGGAAUACCGGUGGCGAAGGCGGCCCCCUGGACAAAGACUGACGCUCAGGUGCGAAAGCGUGGGGAGCAAACAGGAUUAGAUACCCGGGUAGUCCCUGUCUCUUAUAC
rnacentral:rRNA from 1 species